GGGGGGGGGGGGGGGGGGGGGGGGGGGGGGGGGGGCGGGGGGGGGGGUGGGGAGCGGGCGCCGUGGACGGGAGCGGCGGGCGGGUGAGGGACGCGGGGGGAACCUACCGAUAAGACUGGAAUAACUCCGGGAAACCGGGGCUAAUGCCGGAUAACAUUUAGAACCGCAUGGUUCUAAAGUGAAAGAUGGUUUUGCUAUCACUUAUAGAUGGACCCGCGCCGUAUUAGCUAGUUGGUAAGGUAACGGCUUACCAAGGCAACGAUACGUAGCCGACCUGAGAGGGUGAUCGGCCACACUGGAACUGAGACACGGUCCAGACUCCUACGGGAGGCAGCAGUAGGGAAUCUUCCGCAAUGGGCGAAAGCCUGACGGAGCAACGCCGCGUGAGUGAUGAAGGUCUUCGGAUCGUAAAACUCUGUUAUUAGGGAAGAACAAAUGUGUAAGUAACUGUGCACGUCUUGACGGUACCUAAUCAGAAAGCCACGGCUAACUACGUG
rnacentral:rRNA from 1 species